rnacentral:rRNA from 1 species
CCCGAUUUAUCGGGAUGACAGCGUGCCUUUUGGAUAAUGAGCCUACGAGUUACUCGUCUGUUGUUGGUUAAGUUCUUCAGGAACGUAGCCUUAGCGAAAGCAAGUCCUAACAGGGCGUAUAAAAUAACAGGCGGUAGACGCGAAACCGGGUGAUCUACCCUUGGUCAGGAUGAAGUGAGGGUAAAACCUCAUGGAGGUCCGAACUAGUGUGGGUUGAAAACCGCUUGGAUGAACUGAGGGUAGGGGUGAAAGGCUAAUCAAACUCGGAAAUAGCUCGUUUUCCUCGAAAUAGCUUUAGGGCUAGCCUCGGACUAUAGUAUUAUGGAGGUAGAGCACUGAUUGGGCUAGGGCUGUCACAACGGUACCAAACCCAGACAAACUCCGAAUUCCAUUAAUAUGUUCUCCGGGAGUCAGGCUGCGAGGGAUAAGCUCCGCGGCCAAGAGGGGAACAACCCAGACC